rnacentral:rRNA from 1 species
UACACACCGCCCGUCACAUCAUGGGAGUUGGUUUUACCCGAAGUCACUGACUCGACCCGCAAGGGGGAGAGGUGCCUAAGGUAAGGCCGAUGACUGGGAUG